UAUCGCUCUUUUUCUUAGUUCUGAUCUCCACUUAAUAAGAACUUUCUUUCUUUCUGCCUUCUGUCUUCCUUUCUUUUCUCUUAGGUUUGGAAUAAAUACUGAAGUUUAUUGACCAGUCUCUCAAGAGCUACAGAACACAUCAUGUGACCAUUUUCCUUUUGAUUUUCCUUCCUUUGGCAUGUUGAGUGACACCAUCCUAGCCUUUGGAGGAUGAAACUCGUUAGUCACAAACCAUUGGCUUCAUCAAGCUCUUGGAUUCAUCUUACCAGACCACUUUAUUUAAGAGUUCACCACGUCCCAGAAGCAAGAAUGAGGAAGAAAUGUGAACCCUGAUGACUAUCCAGUAGCCAUGAAGGAUCUGAUUAAAAAGAGUCACUGAUUGAAGAGCUUGUGCAUUUGCUGGGCGGCUAGAGGUCAACUGGUACAGACCAGCCUUGUCGGUCCUUAGCUCUGCUCAUCUGCACGUCUAUGGGCCAGCUUGGGACUGUUCCAGACUGGAAAUGGCUCGGCACCUCAGUUGCAGCAAUGUGGCUGCUUAGGUCGCUCAUCCUUCUGCAGUGCAAGAAGCAAGAACAACUAACUGAGAUCCUAAAGGGCCAACCCAGAAUGUGCAACCGUCAUUUCUGUCCCAUCCUAUUGGUCAAAAUGGAUCAUGUGACAUUAUGGACUAAUUGUGUGUGUCACCUCCUUCCAAAUUAAUGUAUUAAACCUAGUUAUGCAGUCAAAUAGCACAACCAUUGCCAUGUUAGAGACACCAAGGCACCAUUCUGGCCUAAGAGGCUAGCAUGUUGACUCCAACACCAGCGAAAAUGAAAACAAAGACCUGA